rnacentral:rRNA from 1 species
CCUCUAUACCAAAGUAUUAAAAGCUAUGACCUCUAAAUUUCAAGGAUUUGGCGGUGAUCUAGUCCAGUUAGAGGAACCUGUUUAUUAAACGAUAAACCACGAAGAAUCUUACCUGCCUUCAAAAUUUGUAUACCGUCAUUAUUAGAUAAUUCUGAAAAGAUAAAAUUAUCUUAACAAAACUAUCCUAAUUAAUAUAUUAGAUCAAGGUGCAGUCUAUAAGCAGGCUUAAAUGGGUUACAAUAAGACAUACUUAAUACGAAUUUAAAGUUUAAAUACUUUUCUAAAGGAGGAUUUAAUAGUAAUGCAAGUUUAAUAAGCUUACAUGAUAAAGGAUCUAGAUUGAGUACAUAUCGCCCGUCGCUUUCAUCUAAAAAUGAAAUAAGUCGUAACAUAG